UGCCAGCCGCCGCGGUAAGACGGAGGGCGCAAGCGUUGUUCGGAAUUACUGGGCGUAAAGCGCGGGCAGGUGGUUCGUUAAGUCGUUUGUGAAAAUCCGGGGCUCAACCCCGUGAAAUGCAAGCGAUACUGGCGAGCUGGAGAUCGGUAGAGGCUAGCGGAAUUCCUGGUGUAGCGGUGGAAUGCGUAGAUAUCAGGAAGAACACCCGUGGCGAAGGCGGCUAGCUGGGCCGAUAUUGACGCUGAGGCGCGAAGGCGUGGGUAGCGAACGGGAUUAGAUA
rnacentral:rRNA from 1 species